CGCGUAGGCGGUAUUUUAAGUCGACGGUUAAAGAUCAUGGCUUAACCAUGGGAGUGCCGUUGAUACUGGAAUGCUAGAGGGUGGUAGAGAGGAGUGGAAUUCUCGGAGUAGCGGUAAAAUGCGUAGAUCUCGAGAGGAACACCGAUGGCGAAGGCAGCUCCUUGGGCCACAACUGACGCUAAGGCGCGAAAGCGUGGGGAGCAAACAGGAUUAGAUACCCUGGUAGUCCACGCUGUAAACGAUGAUUACUGAAUAUGGGGCGCGCAAGCGUGUUCCGUGUUGAAGCACACGCGUUAAGUAAUCCGCCUGGGAAGUACGGUCGCAAGAUUAAA
rnacentral:rRNA from 1 species